GUGGGCUAUAACACAAGGAUUCUUCAAGUGCAACCUUAUUUGAAAUAGGCGUACUAUAUAAAAGGAACAGGAUACUGUAUAGUUAAAAUUGAUUUCAGUUUGCAGGCAUCAUAUCCUACUGUAUUCAGGGCCUUUUAUGUCCUUUUUUGGAUGUGAUGCCAUAAAAAUCUGUAUGCAAAGGUAAAGAAUGCACAGACACUGGUGUCCUGUUGCUGAUAAUUAUAUUGCACCAGUAUGUCAUGUAGCCUUAAAUAUUAGGGCAGCUAAGGGUUCUAAAAAAAUGUUAGAUAGUUAAAAA